AGAGAAUGAUGUUCUUCAGAUGAUUAUCCGACAAGAAAAGUGCGUUCUGAUGCUUGCAUUACAAAUUGUGUACCAAAGUUGAAAAUACCAAUUUUUGAUGACUGCUAGAUGAGUCUCCAGUGGGGUUUCUCAGCGCCUAAACUCUUGGCUUCCCAGUCAACCUAUGAUUCCUUCUAUACCAGAUUAGCCCUGAGCUAACAUCUGCCACCAAUCCUCCUCUUUUUGCUGAAGAAGACUGGCCCUGAGCUAACAUGUGUGCCCAUCUUCCUCUACUUUCUAUGUAGGACGCCUACCACAGCAUGGCUUGCCAAGUGGUGCCGUGUCCGCACCAGGGAUCCGAACUGGCGAACCCCAGGCCUCUAAAGCAGAACGUGCGAACUUAACCGCUGCACCACAGGGCCAGCCCCUGAAUUAACUUUUAGUUUCCUGAUAGGAAUAGAAGUGCACAACUUAGCCACAUUCUUUCCAGCUUCUAGUUCACAUUGUUAUUUUCAAAAUCAUCCUCCCAUCUUCACCCUCACACCCCUAAAUACGUAUGUAACAGAAGCAGUAUAUUUUAACUUUCCCCUUCUGUCAUAUUUUCGUUUCAUCCAAUCUCCGACUCUUGUGUGCAACACUCUCCAAGUUCUGCGCUCAGGGUCUGAUUCUGUUUUAACCACCCACAUCGAGAGAACUCCCUUCUUCCCAUGGCUGUGCUGUUGCCCUCCUUGAGGGAGAGCACACGGACCAUAUGAGGAGCUCAUGCAUGGCGAGCUGACCUGGAGCUCUCUGUAGCUUUCCAGUCCUCCACCCUCAAGACCGUGUGCAUUUUUCUGAAGACUGACGGGACACCAUAGCAGUAAAAGCAGGCAUGGUGACUCAUGUCAGCAGGGAGAGAUUUCUACUAAAUUAAAAAACCAUUGUUAAAGGGAGAUGUUCAUCAACUGAUGCAUGGAUAAACAAUAUGGUGCAUCCAUACAAUGGAAUAUUAUUUGGCCAUAAAAGGAAUGAAGUACUAAUAGAUGCUACAACAUGGGUGGACUUGAAAACAUGCUCAGUGAAGGAAGUCAGUCAUAAAACGAUGGUAUUGUCUGAUUCCAUUUACAUGAAAGGUCUAUAAUAGGCAAAUCCACACAGACACAGAAGGUAGAUGAGUAGUUGCCUAGGGUUGGGGAUGCAUGAGAAAGGUUAGAGCAGAUGACUAAGGGAGGCAGAGCUUUUUAGGAGUGAUGAAAAUGUUCUAAAAUUGAUUAUAAU
rnacentral:lncRNA from 1 species